UACAGAGGGGGCAAGCGUUGUUCGGAAUUACUGGGCGUAAAGGGCGCGUAGGCGGCCUUCUAAGUCGAACGUGAAAUCCCCGGGCUCAACCCGGGAACUGCGUCCGAUACUGGAAGGCUUGAAUCCGGGAGAGGGAUGCGGAAUUCCAGGUGUAGCGGUGAAAUGCGUAGAUAUCUGGAGGAACACCGGUGGCGAAGGCGGCAUCCUGGACCGGCAUUGACGCUGAGGCGCGAAAGCCAGGGGAGCAAACGGGG
rnacentral:rRNA from 1 species